rnacentral:tRNA from 1 species
UAAGUAGCUCAACUGGCAGAGCAACGCAUUCGUAAUGCGGAGGUUGUAGGUUCAAUUCCUGUCUUAGG